rnacentral:rRNA from 1 species
ACUCUUUUACUGUGAACUGCGAAUGGCUCAUUAAAUCAGUUAUCGUUUAUUUGAUAGUACCCUACUACAUGGAUACCUGUGGUAAUUCUAGAGCUAAUACAUGCGCAAAACCCCGACUUCGGAAGGGGUGUAUUUAUUAGAUAAAAAACCAAUGCCCUUCGGGGCUCCUUGGUGAAUCAUAAUAACUUCACGAAUCGCAUGGCCUUGCGCCGGCGAUGGUUCAUUCAAAUUUCUGCCCUAUCAACUUUCGAUGGUAGGAUAGUGGCCUACCAUGGUGGCAACGGGUAACGGGGAAUUAGGGUUCGAUUCCGGAGAGGGAGCCUGAGAAACGGCUACCACAUCCAAGGAAGGCAGCAGGCGCGCAAAUUACCCAAUCCCGAUACGGGGAGGUAGUGACAAUAAAUACUGAUACAGGGCUCUUUUGGGUCUUGUAAUUGGAAUGAGAACAAUCUAAAUCCCUUAACGAGGAACAAUUGGAGGGCAAGUCUGGUGCCAGCAGCCGCGGUAAUUCCAGCUCCAAUAGCGUAUAUUAAAGUUGUUGCAGUUAAAAAGCUCGUAGUUGAACCUUGGGCCCGUCCUGCCGGUCCGCCUCACCGCGAGUACUGGUCCGGAUGGGCCUUUCUUUCUGGGGAAUCCCAUGGCCUUCACUGGCUGUGGCGGGGAACCAGGACUUUUACUGUGAAAAAAUUAGAGUGUUCAAAGCAGGCCUUUGCUCGGAUACAUUAGCAUGGAAUAAUAGAAUAGGACGUGCGGUUCUAUUUUGUUGGUUUCUAGGACCGCCGUAAUGAUUAAUAGGGAUAGUCGGGGGCGUCAGUAUUCAGCUGUCAGAGGUGAAAUUCUUGGAUUUGCUGAAGACUAACUACUGCGAAAGCAUUCGCCAAGGAUGUUUUCAUUAAUCAGGGAACGAAAGUUAGGGGAUCGAAGACGAUCAGAUACCGUCGUAGUCUUAACCAUAAACUAUGCCGACUAGGGAUCGGGCGGGGUUUCUAUGAUGACCCGCUCGGCACCUUACGAGAAAUCAAA